GCAUCAUUUGACUUUCUACAAAACUAAUAGUCCUUGUAUUUUGGAUAGAUGGAAUAUUUUGUUUGACGGGUGUGGGAGAUGAUAGAGUGUGUUUUAUUUUUAUUUAUAAUUAAUGAUUUGGUGGGCCUUUCGUGGUGUGAUUCUAUGUUAUCUGCUAACGAACCUAUAUUAAUGUGGAAAAAAUUUAUGUCGGUGAUCGCAUGUACUAUUAUAUUGGUGCUACAAUCUCUCAUGGUGACGCUUAUUUUUUUCCAGGUGGUGGAAGGUUGCGCGGGAUUGAUAUGUUUUUAUAGACCGAUUGUUGAUUAUUCAUUUGAAAACUUGUUGGCAUCGUCGAAAUCGUAAAAGAAAUCCAAAAUUAAAUGCCUUAAUUGGUUGGAAGAGUUUCAAAAUUAGGAAACAUACUGAAUUAAAAGAAUUGAAUGGGAGAGCUUGAGAAAUUGUUGACUCGGUCAAAAUCGAUUGACCCAAUCCUAAAUUGAAUACCUCAAUUAAUUGUGAGGCCUUAAAAAUUAGAAAGCAUGAUGUAUAGUAUAAAAGAAUUGAAUGAGAGAUCUCUGAGAAAUUGUUGAUCCGGUCAAAAUCGGGUGACCCAAUUCUAAUCGAAGACCUCGAUUGAAUGUGGGCUCUUUAAAAUUAGAAAGCUUAGUGUUAUAGCGAAUAUAUGAUAUUUAUUAUAUAUCUUAAAGAUAGGAGUGCUCAGUAAUUGUGUGCUUAUCUUAUCCUACUGCAUGUGUUCUUUAUUUAUUUUUGUCAUUAACGAAUCGGCCAAGUCUACUUUGUGUGGCGUGUCUUGAUAUAUAAAUAGGCAGGGCCUGACUCGAUUGAGCACAUCAGUUGAGUUCAUCACCCAUCUAAGUAUCUCAUACAGGUUAGGGAUCAAAACAUUGCAUUAAGCAAAGUCAAUAGCCAGAUGGAAGCCAAGCCAGCGACGGUUUUGUUCAUUGUGCUCCUUGGAUGCUCCGCGGUUGCGUUGGUUUUCUCAAUUGAUAGUGAGAUCGGCAGAUCAGGUGGCCUUCGUCUUUCGGAUGACGAGACUAGCAACGACGACAUCUCGUCACCAAAAAUAAGGUGCUUUCGGAGGAUGCAUGACCUUGUCCACAACGAGUUCUGUUGCGCAACGUUGAAGGAUUAUCCUUGCUGGCCAACGUUGGACGAGUGCAUCCCGAAUUGCCCAUAGGUCCUGCCGCUGCUACCUUCUUGCCGCCUAAUCAAUGCAGCGUGUUGAUCUCAGAUGUUUCUGUCGAUCAUGGUUGCGUCUGGUAAAUGAAAAGAAAAAUUGAAUGAAUGGAAAAAAUAAAUUCUUUUGCGGGAAGGAAAUAAAUAAUCAUGCAUGGUUAUGUAUA